rnacentral:lncRNA from 1 species
UUAACUUUUUUGUUUGGAAAGAUAUGCUAUGCAAAAAGAACAGAACAAUCAAAGCAAUCCCAAAAUAAUACAGUAAAAUUUGUUCGAUUUAAUGAUUCAAUUUCCUGUACCGACAAAAACCCUAGAAAUUCUUUUCUAGAGAUAUUACAUACAAAAUCCAGAACAUAGACAAUUUCUAGAGGCGCUGCACUCUGAAGUGAUCACGCUGCUCUUCUUGCAGUCAUAGUGCCGCCGCUACCACUUGGUUUGAAAUCAGAUACAUUCGUGAUGAUGGAGUCUUCGGAGGCGGUGGCGGCGGUGGUGUGGUGGGCGGAGGUCUACUGCAGUGGCUGGUUUUGUGGCCGCCGAGUGCUUGGCAUGGCAGAAAAGACUUUCCGCACAUGUCCCCCUUGUGCGACUGCUUCUGGCCCAGUGGAGUAGUGGAAGAUGGUUCAAUACCCUUCUUGUACUCUNNNN